rnacentral:rRNA from 1 species
UUUCCGUAGGUGAACCUGCGGAAGGUU